rnacentral:rRNA from 1 species
UCGAGAAUCUUUCGCAAUGCCCGAAAGGGUGACGAAGCGACGCCGCGUGUGGGAAGAAGGCCUUCGGGUUGUAAACCACUGUCGGGAGUUAGGAAAUGCAGGUGCGUUAAUAGCGCACUUGCUUGACUAAGGCUCCAGAGGAAGCCACGGCUAACUCUGUGCCAGCAGCCGCGGUAAUACAGAGGCGGCAAGCGUUGUUCGGAAUUAUUGGGCGUAAAGAGCACGUAGGCGGCCUUGCAAGUCAGUUGUGAAAGCCUUCCGCUUAACGGAAGAACGGCAUCUGAUACUACAGGGCUUGAGUACGGGAGGGGAGAGUGGAACUUCUGGUGGAGCGGUGAAAUGCGUAGAUAUCAGAAGGAACGCCGGCGGCGAAAGCGACUCUCUGGUCCGAAACUGACGCUG